rnacentral:rRNA from 1 species
UACGUAGGGUCCGAGCGUUGUCCGGAAUUAUUGGGCGUAAAGGGCUCGUAGGCGGUUUGUCGCGUCGGGAGUGAAAACACGGGGCUUAACCCCGUGCCUGCUUCCGAUACGGGCAGACUAGAGGUAUGCAGGGGAGAACGGAAUUCCUGGUGUAGCGGUGAAAUGCGCAGAUAUCAGGAGGAACACCGGUGGCGAAGGCGGUUCCCUGGGCAUUACAUGACGCUGAGGAGCGAAAGUGUGGGGAGCGAACAGG